AAGUAGUCCUAUAUUGUAGAAAUUCAGCGAAACAUGUCAGGCUGGGAACGGAGCAGCAUUAAGUUGAGAUUUCUAGGUUUAUGGGGUAGCUAUUUU
rnacentral:SRP_RNA from 1 species